rnacentral:rRNA from 1 species
CAGUCAUGUUGCCCGAGGAUCAACCUUGCUCUUUUGCUUGGUGUACUUCUUGGAUCGACAGGUCAGCAUGAAUCUUGAGCGGUGGAAAAGGGUUUGGGGAAUGUGGCACCUCCGGGUGUGUUAUAGCCCCUUGCUGUAUACACUGGUUGGGAUUGAGGUUUCAGUGCACGCUUCGGUUGUGCUUUGAUGCUGGCGUAAUGGCUUUAAACGCCCGUCUUGAAACCGGACCAAGGAGUCUAACAUAUAUGCGAGUGUUU